rnacentral:rRNA from 1 species
GCCGGGACCAUCCGGUAAGGCUAAAUACUCCCGAGAGACCGAUAGCGAACCAGUACUGUGAAGGAAAGGUGAAAAGCACUUCGAAUAGAAGAGUGAAAUAGUCCCUGAAACCAUGCGCCUACAAGCGGUCGGAGCAGCUUCAGCUGUGACGGCGUGCCUUUUGCAUAAUGAACCUACGAGUUACUUUUUCCGGCAAGGUUAAGCAUCUUGAGAUGUGGAUCCGAAGCGAAAGCGAGUCUGAACAGGGCGGAUAGUCGGAAGGAGUAGACGCGAAACCAAGUGAUCUACCCUUGGGCAGGUUGAAGGUUAGGUAACACUAACUGGAGGACCGAACCGAUAAGCGUUGAAAAGCUUCCGGAUGACCUGAGGGUGGGGGUGAAAGGCUAAUCAAACUUGGAGAUAGCUCGUACUCCCCGAAAUGCAUUUAGGUGCAGCCUUGAGAGUUACUAAUGUGAGGUAGAGCGACUGAUAAGAUGCGAGGGCUUCACCGCCUAUCAAGUCUUGACAAACUCCGAAUGCGUGUCAGUUCUAUGUCAGGAGUGAGGGCAUGGGUGCUAAGGUCCAUGUCCUAAAGGAGAACAAUCCGGACCAACAGCUAAGGUCCCGAAAUGAAUACUAAGUUGAACUAACGAAGUCAGAUUGCUAAGACAGCUAGGAUGUUGGCUUGGAAGCAGCCAUUCAUUUAAAGAGUGCGUAACAGCUCACUAGUCGAGGAGUUUGGCGUGGAUAAUAAUCGGGCAUUAAGCAAUUUACCGAAGCUAUGGGAUCCGUAAGGAUCGGUAGGGGAGCAUUCCACUCUGCGUCGAAGGUGAAGCGUGAGCUUUGCUGGAGCGUGUGGAAAAGCAAAUGUAGGUAUAAGUAACGAUAAAGGGGGUGAGAAACCCCCUCGCCGAAAGACUAAGGUUUCCUGAUCAACGCUAAUCGGAUCAGGGUUAGUCGGGUCCUAAGGCUCAGCCGAACGGUGAGGCCGAUGGCAGAACAGGUUAAUAUUCCUGUACUACCUUAAAGAGUGACGUGGAGACGGAGGAGUGACAGCGCCGCGGACUGACGGAAUAGUCCGUUAAAGGGUGUAGAUGUUGAUUAUCCCAGGCAAAUCCGGGAUAAGAGUCGAACCUGACAGUAUACCAAUUUCCUCGGAAAACGGUAAUAGUGCGUGUAAACAUACUCCCAAGAAAAUCCGCUAAACUUAAUCUUACAGGUACCCGUACCGUAAACGGACACACGUAGUCGGGUUGAAUAUACUCAGGCGCUUGAGUGAAUCACGGUUAAGGAACUAGGCAAAUUGACCCUGUAACUUCGGGAUAAAGGGUCCCUACCCGGUGACGGGAGGGCGCAGAGAAUAGGUCCAGGCAACUGUUUAACAAAAACACAGGGCUGUGCAAAAUUGAAAGAUCACGUAUACAGCCUGACACCUGCCCGGUGCUGGAAGGUUAAGAGGAGAUGUCAUCGCAAGAGAAGCAUUGAAUUGAAGCCCCAGUAAACGGCGGCCGUAACUAUAACGGUCCUAAGGUAGCGAAAUUCCUUGUCGGGUAAGUUCCGACCUGCACGAAUGGUGUAAUGAUCUGGACACUGUCUCAACCGUGAGCUCAGUGAAAUUGUAGUAUCGGUGAAGAUGCCGAUUACCCGCGAUGGGACGAAAAGACCCCGUGAACCUUUACUAUAGCUUAACAUUGAAUUUGGGUAAUUGAUGUGUAGGAUAGGCCGGAGACUUUGAAGCAGGCACGCCAGUGUUUGUGGAGUCGCUGUUGAAAUACGGCCCUUUGGUUAUUUGAGUUCUAACUCGCUGAUGCGAGGACACUGUUUGGUGGGUAGUUUGACUGGGGUGGUCGCCUCCAAAAGCGUAACGGAGGCUUCUAAAGGUGCCCUCACGGCGAUUGGUAACCGCCGUUAGAGUGUAAUGGCAUAAGGGCGCUUGACUGGGAGACUGACAAGUCGAUCAGGUAGGAAACUAGAGCAUAGUGAUCCGGUGUUUCCGUAUGGAAGGGACAUCGCUCAAAGGAUAAAAGGUACUCCGGGGAUAACAGGCUGAUCCCUCCCAAGAGCUCAUAUCGACGGAGGGGUUUGGCACCUCGAUGUCGGCUCGUCACAUCCUGGGGCUGGAGAAGGUCCCAAGGGUUGGGCUGUUCGCCCAUUAAAGUGGCACGCGAGCUGGGUUCAGAACGUCGUGAGACAGUUCGGUCUCUAUCUAUCGUGGGCGUAUGAAAUUUGCGUGGCUCUGACACUAGUACGAGAGGACCGUGUUGGA